rnacentral:rRNA from 1 species
AUUGAACGCUGGCGGCAGGCUUAACACAUGCAGGUCGAGCGGAGAUGAGGUGCUUGCACCUUAUCUUAGCGGCGGACGGGUGAGUAAUGCUUAGGAAUCUGCCUAUUAGUGGGGGACAACAUUCCGAAAGGAAUGCUAAUACCGCAUACGUCCUACGGGAGAAAGCAGGGGAUCUUCGGACCUUGCGCUACUAGAUGAGCCUAAGUCGGAUGAGCUAGUUGGUGGGGUAAAGGCCUACCAAGCCGACGAUCUUUAGCGGGUCUGAGAGGAUGAUCCGCCACACUGGGACUGAGACACGGCCCAGACUCCUACGGGAGGCAGCAGUGGGGAGUAUUGGACAAUGGGGGGAACCCUGAUCCAGCCAUGCCGCGUGUGUGAAGAAGGCCUUAUGGUUGUAAAGCACUUUAAGCGAGGAGGAGGCUACUGAGACUAAUACUCUUGGAUAGUGGACGUUACUCGCAGAAUAAGCACCGGCUAACUCUGUGCCAGCCGCCGCAGUAAGAC